AUUGAACGCUGGCGGCAUGCCUUACACAUGCAAGUCGAACGGCAGCACGGGUGCUUGCACCUGGUGGCGAGUGGCGAACGGGUGAGUAAUACAUCGGAACAUGUCCUGUAGUGGGGGAUAGCCCGGCGAAAGCCGGAUUAAUACCGCAUACGAUCUACGGAUGAAAGCGGGGGACCUUCGGGCCUCGCGCUAUAGGGUUGGCCGAUGGCUGAUUAGCUAGUUGGUGGGGUAGAGGCCUACCAAGGCGACGAUCAGUAGCUGGUCUGAGAGGACGACCAGCCAGCCUGGGACUGAGACACGGCCCAGACUCCUGCGGGGGGCCGCAGUGGGGACUUUUGGACAAUGGGCGAAAGCCUGAUCCAGCAAUGCCGCGUGUGUGAAGAAGGCCUUCGGGUUGUAGAGCACUUUUGUCCGGAAAGAAAUCCUUGGCCCUAAUACGGUCGGGGGAUGACGGUACCGGAAGAAUAAGCACCGGCUAACUACGUG
rnacentral:rRNA from 1 species